rnacentral:rRNA from 1 species
GACAGAGGUGCCAAGCGUUAGGCGGAAUCACUGGGCUUAAAGCGUGUGUAGGCGGAAUGGUAAGUACCUUGUGAAAUCCCACGGCUCAACCGUGGAACUGCUGGGUAUACUGCUUUUCUUGAGCCACUUAGGGGCUGUCGGAACAAACGGUGGAGCGGUGAAAUGCGUAGAUAUCGUUUGGAACGCCAACGGUGAAAACAGACAGCUGGGAGUGUGCUGACGCUGAGACACGAAAGCCAGGGGGAGCGAACGGG